rnacentral:misc_RNA from 1 species
AUUCGCUCAGGAUCCAUCCCACCACCAUUAUCUUCAAUCAGAAGCAUUCUGCUCCCAUCUUUUUUGUUUUUGACCAUAUCAAUGUUCACAUAUGUUGCUCCGUUGGACACCUCAUCCAAUGAAUUGUCCAAGAGCUCAGCAAGAGCUCCAAGUACCCACUUGUGACUUGUGGCAUUGGAGUGUAGGAAUUUGGGAUGAACUCGGACAUGAUCUAUACCACCUGAUUUUAGUACUGAACUAGCAGAAGAAGACCCUUCA